AAGUAUAUAUUUUCUCCUAUUUUAAUACAAUUGAUAGUGUCUAAAUAACAUCUUUUUAAUUCUUUUUGUAGGGCAAUGAGAAUCAACCCACCGGAAAAACAGAAAACAUCAAAGAGGGAGCCAACUUGGGUGAAAGUGGUUUGCCCAAGACAACCAGGUAGUGUGGAAUGUGGGUAUUACGUGAUGAGAUAUAUGAAGGAAAUCAUUGCUAAUCCAAACCAACUAACAUCAAAGUUUUGCGGGAAGAAAUCAUAUAGUGAAAUGGAAAUUAAUGAAGUUCGAUCAGAUUGGGUUAUGUUAGUGACUCAGUUAAUCAUUACUCAUGUUUGAAGUUGGCAGUGUUUUCAAUAUGGAUCAUUUUGGGGGUUGCUCUAUUAUGAUUGAUGUAUAGUUGGCAUAUUGAGAGGUGAAGCCAAGUAGACAUGGUUGUACAAAAAGGCAUAGGUCAUUCUAUUAACAACGUCACUACUGCUCUUGAUGAAGGACACCCACAAACAAUUCAAAAUAUAUCAUCAAAAGAAUUUUGAGAUUGAGCAUCUAGAAAGUGAGUUACAACCAUCCUUUUGCACUUGGAAGAAAAAUGAUGUAAAACUAGAUGUAGUGAAGGUUAUGAACAAUUCAAAGUUGAAGAAGAAGUUGUAAAAUUGUUGGUUUUAGUUGUUGAUUAUGUAUGAUGUUUAUGGAUAAAUUGUAAUAGUGAAAAAGGAAGACCAUAUUUGAUACUUUUUGUCAAUGGAGAUUCUUAAAUUAAGUUUUCAUUAUUAAUUUAA